UCGAGAAUUUUUCACAAUGGGCGAAAGCCUGAUGGAGCGACGCCGCGUGGGGGAUGAAGGCCUUCGGGUCGUAAACCCCUGUCAUUCGUGAACAAUCCCUGAGUAUGAAUAGUAUUCAGGUUGAUAGUAGCGGAAGAGGAAGGGACGGCUAACUCUGUGCCAGCAGCCGCGGUAAUACAGAGGUCCCAAGCGUUGUUCGGAUUUACUGGGCGUAAAGGGUGCGUAGGCGGUUGGGUAAGUCUGGUGUGAAAUCUCCAAGCUUAACUUGGAAAAUGCACUUGAUACUAUCCGGCUGGAGUUUCGGAGGGGAGACUGGAAUUCUCGGUGUAGCAGUGAAAUGCGUAGAUAUCGAGAGGAACAUCAGUGGCGAAGGCGAGUCUCUGGACGAAUACUGACGCUGAGGCACGAAAGCCAGGGGAGCAAACGGG
rnacentral:rRNA from 1 species